rnacentral:rRNA from 1 species
CAGUAGCCGCGGGAACACGAAGGGUGCAAGCGUUACUCGGAAUUACUGGGCGUAAAGCGUGCGUAGGUGGUGGUUUAAGUCCGUUGUGAAAGCCCUGGGCUCAACCUGGGAAUUGCAGUGGAUACUGGGUCACUAGAGUGUGGUAGAGGAUAGUGGAAUUUCCGGUGUAGCAGUGAAAUGCGUAGAGAUCGGAAGGAACAUCUGUGGCGAAGGCGACUAUCUGGGCCAACACUGACACUGAGGCACGAAAGCGUGGGGAGCAAACAGGAUUAGAUACCCGUGUAGUCCCUGUCUCUUAUAC